GUGCUUGGCUUUGACAGCACAUGUACUGAAAUUCAAACAAUACAGAGAAGAUAAGCAUGGCCCCUUCACAAGGAUGACAUGCAGAUUUGUGAAGUGUUCAUCUUUUUA
ensembl:snRNA U6 U6 spliceosomal RNA